rnacentral:RNase_P_RNA from 1 species
GAGGAAAGUCCGGGCAACACAGAGCAGGAUACUUCUUAACGAGAAGCAGUUCGCGAGGGCUGAGUAGUGUAACAGAAAAUAACCGCCACACUUCGGUUUGGUAAGGGUGAAAAGGUGGGGUAAGAGCCUACCGUAGCGGCCGUAAUUCCGCUAGCCGUACGCCUUAUGGGUUGUAAGAUCAUGUACACCGACGCAUGUAGAGUGACUCGCUCGAUGUCGGGGGGUAGAUCGCUAGAGUUGCGUAGUGAUACGUAAUCGAGAUAAAUGGCAGACGUUGUGCUUGCACAAUACAGAAUCCGGCUUA